rnacentral:rRNA from 1 species
UGGGGAAUAUUGGACAAUGGGGGCAACCCUGAUCCAGCAAUGCCGCGUGUGUGAAGAAGGUCUUCGGAUUGUAAAGCACUUUCGACGGGGACGAUGAUGACGGUACCCGUAGAAGAAGCCCCGGCUAACUUCGUGCCAGCAGCCGCGGUAAUACGAAGGGGGCUAGCGUUGCUCGGAAUGACUGGGCGUAAAGGGCGUGUAGGCGGUUUACACAGUCAGAUGUGAAAUCCCCGGGCUUAACCUGGGAGCUGCAUUUGAUACGUGUAGACUAGAGUGUGAGAGAGGGUUUGUGGAAUUCCCAGUGUAGAGGUGAAAUUCGUAGAUAUUGGGAAGAACACCGGUGGCGAAGGCGGCAACCUGGCUCAUGACUGACGCUGAGGCGCGAAAGCGU